UGAGGCUUCGGCAGACUGUAUGGCUUGCUCAUGGCUAAUCCCAAAUUGGGAGUUUGAAUUUAUGAUGCUUGUGUUCUGAAGGUGUUCCAGGAGGACCCUCAGCUGGGGAUUUGGCCUCCAGGCAGCAGCAGGGAGUCGAUGUGAACUGGGUUUAAUGGCCACAAUGGAGAGGUAGUCUUACUCUCUGCCUCCGGGGACCUUAGGACGUGUAUUGGAAUGACAUCCCCUUGACGUCACAACAGGGAGAGGCUAUUACUGGCGUCUCAGUGGUGAGGUCUGGAGAUGCUGUGAAGAUCUUACAAGACAUAGCCAACCUCACCCCAGCCAUCUGGCUCUGUGUGCCUGUGCCAAGGCUGAGAAACUCUGCCAAACACUUGGCAUUCAUUUCGGUAUUUGCAAGGAAGGAAUGAAAUAAAUCACAAAAGCACCAACUCGUAAAA